rnacentral:tRNA from 1 species
GCCCGAGUGGCGGAAUCGGCAGACGCACAGGACUUAAAAUCCUGGGAGAGUCACAUCUCGUGCCAGUUCAAGUCUGGCCUCGGGCACCA